CAGAGUAAAGCCAAACCAGAGGCAGGCCUUUGUUAAUGGCCUUAUUGAGUCUAUCUGCUCUGA
rnacentral:tRNA from 1 species